GUGCUCACUUCAGCAGUGCAUAUACUAAAAUUGGAAUGAUACAGAGACAAUUAGCAUGGCCACUGCACAGGAUAACAUGCAAUUUGUGAAGCAUUUCAUAUUUUG